GGUGCUGCUGGGAUUCAAAGAGACGCUGCGACGGGGGCUGGGGAUCGACACAGCCAUCCCAAUGAUGAUUAAUUUCUGGGAAACAUCCUCAGCAGAAUUAUUUGAAGGUGUUGCAGCAGACAGUAAAGGCACCGAGGCAGUGGCUUGUGGGAAAGAGGGUAAGUUUCAUUACUAAUCCUGCUCUUAAAAAGAGGGGUCUUUUUAGAAAACUAGUUUAACUUACAAGCACUGAGAGACUUUAAGAAAGUCACUAAUCACGGGAGCAAUGGGUCUCUUUGGAACAUAUUUUAACUGACAAGCCCUUAGAGCCUUUCUGAGAAACAGGAUAGAACUAUGGUCAAAAUGAAGUGCAAAUUAAUAAAUGUGCAUCAUGA